CGCCCAGUAGCUCAACUGCAUAGAGCCGCGGUUCCUCUUUCCGCGAGGUUGGGAGUUGGAGUCUCCCCUGGGCUUCCCA
rnacentral:tRNA from 1 species